UCGGGACGCCCAGCUUUGAGCGCAAGUCUCUCCGCUGCAGCUACCACAACUGACUGACUGACAGAACGAAGGCUGUUCUCCAGCCCAACGCUAAGAAAACUUGGGCCGAAAACAGAGAGUGGAGAUGCGAAGAGGUCCAUCCAGAGGACAACACGAAUGAGAGCAACUGGUCCUCCUUAGAAUUCUUGAGCAAGGAGAGAACGGUCACACUUAAAUUGUCCUCUCUUGGUGGGUAAAACCUACUUUGCGUUAAACAGUGCGACUCAUAUUGGGAAAGGGUGAAGGCAGAAACAGAAAGACAGUCCAGUCAAAAGCGAACACCAAACAGACAACACAAAAAGAUGUCCUUAGUCGCACUGUAUCACUUCCACACCCUGGCUCCUCACUUUCAUUGUGUGAGUCAAC